rnacentral:tRNA from 1 species
GGCUAUAGCUCAGUUAGGUAGAGCACCUCGUUUACACGCUCAGUUUGAUCUGUUUUACCGAGCAGGUCUACGGUUCGAGUCCGUAUAGCCCUACUA